GGAUUAUAGUUAAAUAUAACAUUUAAUUUGCAUUUAAAAAGUACUAAAAUUUAGUUAAUCUUAA
rnacentral:tRNA from 1 species